AGCAGACACCUACGAAGAAGGACUGUGUGAUGAUGGCAUCUCAGAGAGCGAGCUGAUCAAGGGGUCGAAAAUGUAGAUAUUGCCAGAUGUUCACUGUAUGAGGAACAGGCCAUGCAAGCUGUAUUGCUGGCAAAAGUGUCCACAACCAGAGUCCCCCAGUGCAAGCUCACAACUUUUAAAGGAGGAACCACUGUACCUGUGUCCAAACGGGUUACCAUCAGCAAUGCUGAAGGGGGAUCCCAACUUUCCAUCUUCAGAGCGCUCAGAUACAGGAAUCUACACCAUUCUUAUCAAUAAUAUCGUUGGCCAAGAGACAUUCUGCAUUGAGACCAG
rnacentral:lncRNA from 1 species